rnacentral:tRNA from 1 species
CGGGAUGUAGCGCAGCCUGGUAGCGCACCUGAAUGGGGUUCAGGGGGUCGAAUGUUCAAAUCAUUUCAUCCCGACCA